CCUCCAUCGCUAGAAAUCUUUUAUGUUCUAAUCAAUUACGUUUAAUACGACAAAAAGGGCUUUUGAAAAGUCAAUUUCAAAUCGUAUUUAGGUUUCCUCGAGAACAGCUAAUUUUUAGAUUUUUAAUCGCUUAAGCGAGAAAGUCAGCUGACCCCAAGAGCCACCUACAUUAUUUACUGUUGAUGUAGUGUCACUUUUGCGGUUUUUUUACAAAGUAUAUACGCUGUUCAUCCCCAUAGAGUGAUGACAGCUGAAAUCAUGCAUAGCAUAUACACAAUAGUCAUUUUUGGCAUUCUUGGAUCAAGUGUGGUUCACUCUUUGCCCCCAGAGCAACCCAUUACUGGGGGUAUGCUUUACCCCAGGGAAACAAUGACGAGGGAUAUUAAAGAUCUUGGUGGGAUUUGGCAGUUUCAAGUUGACUUGUCUACAUGGAGGAAUCAAAGUUUAGUUAAAGAAUGGUGGAAAAGGCCCCUUGCUGAAAAUGUUGAUCAUGUCUUAGAUAUGCCAGUACCCUCGAGUUACAAUGACAUCACAGCUAAUCGCUCAAUACAGAAUUUUGUUGGUUGGGCCUGGUAUGAAACCACAUUCCAGACACCUAAACACUGGCUUGAUACUGUCGAAGGCAAAAUUGCCAGGAGGAUCGUCCUGAGAUUUGAAAGCGUCAGAUACUAUGCCUCCGUUUGGUUGAAUGGCAUGGAGGUGAUGUCUCAUGAAGGCGGUCACUUACCAUUUGAAGCUGAAAUCUCCCAGUAUCUGUUCGCUCCCCCUGUUACUAACAGACUGACUGUGGCAGUGAAUAGUACCAUGCAUGCACAUACGUUACCCCCAGGAUCUUUCUCAUGGGAGCCAAACACAAAUCGAUAUCCUGAGAAUUACUUCAUUAUGGAUCCAGUUGGCAAUUUCUUCCAUUAUUGUGGCAUUGAUAGGCGUGUUUUGUUGUAUAGCACACCUUUGGUAUAUAUUGAUGACAUCACAGUGGACACUACAUAUAGAAACAUUUCAGGCAAUAUAACAGGAGUAGUGAAUUACAACAUCAGCGCUAUAGGAACUACGACACAAAACAAGGUUUACGUUUCUGUGAUUGACAAAAGUCAGCCUGGAAAAGCUAAAGUUAUUUCCUCCAGUAAAAUGGUCAAGGGAGACAUAGCUGCAAGUGUAGAGGUCCCAGAUGCCAAACUAUGGUGGCCAAUGUACAUGAGUAAUAGCCCAGGUUUUAUGUACACAUUGCGUGUGACGAUAGUUGAUGUCUCAGGUAUCGCGAUAUACGACCAAUAUGAUCUUCCAAUCGGAAUCAGAACAGUUAGGGUCACUAAAACGCAGUUCCUUAUCAACGAGCAGCCAUUUUAUUUUCAUGGGUUUGGAAAACACGAAGAUUAUGAUCUCAGAGGUAAAGCAGUUGACCCUGUCACAAAUCUCCGGGACUUUUAUCUAAUGAAAUGGAUUCAUGCGAACUCAUUUAGAACAUCUCAUUACCCCUAUGCAGAGGAAAUCAUGGACUUAGCUGAUAAGUAUGGGAUAGCUGUAAUAGAUGAAUCACCAGCUGUAGGGCUAGCCUCUAAGGAAAAUUUUGACCCAGUGGUGCUACAAAAACAUCUGAAGGUAGAAUCGGAGCUGAUCCGACGAGAUAAAAACCGCCCAGGUGUCGUUAUGUGGUCCCUUGCAAAUGAGGCGAGCUUGGGACAUGACUACUCGACUGCUUAUUUCAAGGCUGUAUUUCAACAUGUAAAGGCUCUAGAUAAAACCCGUCCUGCAUCUAUGGUUCUCAAUCAGCAUGGAAACGCAACAUUUUUCUGUGAUGUCAUAUUGUUUAAUGUCUACCAUGGUUGGUAUAAUGACAGAGGAAGACUAGAAACUGUGGCACUUCAGAUGUAUGAUGAUAUGUCGACAUGGUAUAAAGAGCUCCAAAGGCCUGUCAUGAUCACAGAGUAUGGAGCAGGGGCUGUUGCAGGAAUGCACCUACUGCCCAGCUUUACAUAUACAGAAGACUACCAGGUUGAAAUUCUUCGAGAAAAUCAGAAAGCCUUUGAUAAACUCAAGGCUGAGGGCUACUUUGUUGGUGAGAUGAUAUGGAACUUCGCAGAUUUUAAGCAGCCCCCUCUGAGUGAUAUAGUGAUCAACAAUCGCAAGGGUGUAUUCACUCGUCAGCGCGACCCUAAAGAAUCUGCUUAUCUCGUCAAAGAUCGCUACGUGAAGCUAGCCCAAGCAAUGCAACAGUCCAUGGGGAUGCAAUCAUUACAAAAUGAGGUGGAUGAAAAACUAAGAUUUGUCCCUGAGAAUGGUGUUGACUUGUUAUAAAUAUUCAGCGCUUUAAUUGGCAGCAAAGAGUAGAUGGUGGAAACUCCUAUGCUAAUGUUUCCCUUGUAAUUCUUAUUUAAUUAUUUGAAAAAUCAUUUGAAGAGAAUGUAUAAAUGGACAUACCAAAAAAUGUCCACAACAGCCAUUUUCUGUCUACCUAGUCUUAUCGCCAUUGAUUGUAGUAAAGGGUCUAAUCUAAUGGGGCGGUUUUGGUGCUUAUUGGACUUAAGCAUAAUAGUUUUCUGUUCACCUAUUUAGACGAACAAUUAAUAAAAUGAUAUAUGUAUAUUUUUCAGAUGUGCCAUACUUUUUUACAUACGAAGGCAAUGUGUUAUGCAAUACUAUAUAUUUUAAAUAUUUAACUUUAUAAUAAUGCAAAAUAUAUUUUAAGGAAUAAUAUAGGAAUAUCCUAUGGUUUUGAAAAAAUAUCAUUUGUAUCCAUGAGUGUAUAUUGAUAUCUUCAUGAGUGAGUGCAGCAAAUGAGUGAAAAUAUUUAUAUCCAUGAGUGAAUAUAAUUGAUAUUUUUGAAAA
rnacentral:misc_RNA from 1 species